rnacentral:tRNA from 6 species
GCGGGAGUAGCUCAGUGGUAGAGCGAAACGUUGCCAACGUUUAGGCCGAGGGUUCAAUUCCCUUCUCCCGCUCCA